rnacentral:rRNA from 1 species
CCUACGGGCGGCAGCAGUGGGGAAUAUUGGGCAAUGGGCGCAAGCCUGACCCAGCAACGCCGCGUGAAGGAAGAAGGCUUUCGGGUUGUAAACUUCUUUUAAGAGGGAAGAGCAGAAGACGGUACCUCUUGAAUAAGCCACGGCUAACUACGUGCCAGCAGCCGCGGUAAUACGUAGGUGGCAAGCGUUGUCCGGAUUUACUGGGUGUAAAGGGCGUGUAGCCGGGCUGACAAGUCAGAUGUGAAAUCCCGUGGCUCAACCACGGAACUGCAUUUGAAACUGUCGGUCUUGAGUAUCGGAGAGGCAGGCGGAAUUCCUAGUGUAGCGGGGAAAGGCGGAGAUAUUAGGAGGAACCCCAGGGGCGAAGGGGGCCGGCUGGACGACAACUGACGGUGAGGCGCGAAAGCGUGGGGAGCAAACAGGAUUAGAUACCCCAGUAGUC